GCGCCUUGCCAGCCCGCUCAGAAACUCAAAGGAAUUGACGGGACCCCGCACAAGCGGUGGAUCAUGUUGUUUUAAUUCGAUGAUACGCGAAGAACCUUACCAGGUCUUGACAUCCCCCGCGAUGCUUUAGAGAUAAAGCGGAGGUAUUCGGGGAGACAGGUGGUGCAUGGUUGUCGUCAGCUCGUGUCGUGAGAUGUUGGGUUAAGUCCCGCAACGAGCGCAACCCCUAUCUUUAGUUGCCAUCAGUUCGGCUGGGCACUCUAUGGAGACUGCCACCUAAAGUGGAGGAAGGUGGGGAUGACGUCAAGUCAGCAUGGCCCUUACGUCCGGGGCUACACACGUGCUACAAUGGCCGGUACAAAGGGUUGCGAAGCCGUGAGGUGGAGCGAAUCUCAAAAAGCCGGCCUCAGUUCGGAUUGGAGGCUGCAACUCGCCUCCAUGAAGUUGGAGUUGCUAGUAAUCGCGAAUCAGAAUGUCGCGGUGAAUGCGUUCCCGGGUCUU
rnacentral:rRNA from 1 species